CCCCUCCUCACCCCGGAGCUCCACUGCGUAUGUGGUUUGGUGCUACUGCUGCCCCGGAGUUAAAGUCAGAGCCAGAGGAAGGCAAUGAAGCCCCAACAGACACACUUACCUUUCCUGCCCCCCACUUUUGAGUGCCUUCCCUGGAGCUGUGGAGGAUGACACAAAGGGUAAUAAAGGGGGGGGGGAGUGGAGGAGGAGGCGGCGAAGGAGGAGGAGAGCUGGGGAAGUGGCUGCUCCUGGGUGUAGUGAGAUGUCUCCAGCCAGGGCCAAGCAGCAGCAGCAGCAGUAGCAGCGGCAGCAGCAGCAGCAGCAGAGAAGGGUCUGUGUUGCUAAGAGGCUUUUGGUCUCUUUCUCUCCUCCUCUCACGGCCAGAGAGGAGGAGGGUGGAGGGGGCUCGGGAGGGAGGCUAGUGGAGGGGUGAGGGGGUAGGAGUCGUGGAUGGGGGUUUUCGAAGAAGAAGAAACUCCUUCUUCUCUCUCAGGCUCAAUCCCCCUCUCAGGUCUCAGGGCUGGAGGGUGGGGGAAGGAACUCAGCCGCCUUCCCCCCACCCCCCUCAAUUCAAGGUUGAAGUGGGGUAAAAUUAGUGUCCUGUCCCUUUAAAAAUAGAAAUAAAAGGUGCCCCCCCUCUGCCACUGCCUCUCUCUUCAUCAUCAGCUGCUGCUGCUGCUGGGGUCUCUCUGCUGGGGGGGGGAGGGGGGGUUCGGGUAGAAGAGACGGGAGGCACUCACUGCGCAUGCCCCUCCCUGACGGGAGGCUGGUUGGUUGAAGACAGGAGGAGGGGGAGGGGAGGAAAUGAUACGGUUUCCCAGAAGGCUCCGAGGCACUUGCGACCCGGAAGACAUUGUAGCAGGGGGUAGAGGGGCGGGGGCGGGGAGUAGGAGGAAGUCGCUACUCUUUAACACCCCCUGCCCCUCCUCUCUCCUAAGGGAAAGUGGAGGAACGGAAGUGGGCGGGGACGGAGACGCAUGUAGGUCACGUGUUGGGGCGGGAAUGGGGCGGGGUGAGAGACGCGGUGCGUGCGCGGGGAAUGCCGGGAGUAGUGGUGUACCGUUGGUCGUAGCAGGUGAAGCUGAGCAGACUACGCUGCGAGCGGCGCCUGUGAAGCGAUUCCUGUGGUCGUCAAAUUCAUACUCUGCCCUGCUAAGGGCGGACUUUUCUGUGAGAGUCAUCAUGAUGAACAGCUCUUCUGCAGUACAAGAAAUAAUGAUUUCAGUUUGUUAA
rnacentral:lncRNA from 1 species